rnacentral:rRNA from 1 species
UAGGGAAUCUUCCACAAUGGACACAAGUCUGAUGGAGCAACGCCGCGUGAGUGAAGAAGGUCUUCGGAUCGUAAAACUCUGUUGUUAGAGAAGAACACGAGUGAGAGUAACUGUUCAUUCGAUGACGGUAUCUAACCAGCAAGUCACGGCUAACUACGUACCAG